rnacentral:rRNA from 1 species
GAUGAACGCUAGCGACAGGCUUAACACAUGCAAGUCGAGGGGCAGCGGGGCGGUCAGCUUGCUGAACGCCGCCGGCGACCGGCGCACGGGUGAGUAACACGUGUCCAACCUGCCCUUUACUCGGGGAUAGCCUUUCGAAAGAACGAUUAAUACCCGAUGGCAUAAUGAUUCCGCAUGGUUUCAUUAUUAAAGGAUUCCGGUAAAGGAUGGGGAUGCGUUCCAUUAGGUUGUUGGUGAGGUAACGGCCCACCAAGCCUUCGAUGGAUAGGGGGUUCUGAGAGGAAGGUCCCCCCACAUUGGAACUGAGACACGGUCCAAACUCCUACGGGAGGCAGCAGUGAGGAAUAUUGGUCAAUGGGCGUUAGCCUGAACCAGCCAAGUAGCGUGAAGGGAUGAAGGCUCUAUGGGUCUAAACUUCUUUUAUAUAAGAAUAAAGUGCAGUAUGUAUACUGUUUUG